rnacentral:rRNA from 1 species
GAUGAACGCUGGCGGCGUGCCUAACACAUGCAAGUCGAGCGAACAGACGAGGAGCUUGCUCCUCUGACGUUAGCGGCGGACGGGUGAGUAACACGUGGAUAACCUACCUAUAAGACUGGGAUAACUUCGGGAAACCGGAUCUAAUACCGGAUAAUAUAUUGAACCGCAUGGUUCAAUAGAGAAAGACGGCUUUGGUGUCACUUAUAGAUGGAUCCGCGCCGCAUUAGCUAGUUGGUAAGGUAACGGCUUACCAAGGCAACGAUGCGUAGCCGACCUGAGAGGGUGAUCGGCCACACUGGAACUGAGACACGGUCCAGACUCCUACGGGAGGCAGCAGUAGGGAAUCUUCCGCAAUGGGCGAAAGCCUGACGGAGCAACGCCGCGUGAGUGAUGAAGGUCUUCGGAUCGUAAAGCUCUGUUAUUAGGGAAGAACAAAUGUGUAAGUAACUAUGCACGUCUUGACGGUACCUAAUCAGAAAGCCACGGCUAACUACGUG